AAGCAGCGGCAAUGAUGAGCAAAUAGUGGCAGACAAGGAGUAUAGGUAAUACAGACAACAAAUACCUAAUAAUAAAAAUGGUAAUAAGGAUAAUAUUGGAAUUUUAAAAUAUAUUGAGGAUAAUUUUGUCAGUUUAAUAAACUUUGAAAAAGCUUCCCUCCCCUCACCUCCAAAUCCCCCCGAUUUGGGGGGAAGCAAAAAUUGAGUUUAUGAGGGAUUCUGCUUACCUCCCCUCC
rnacentral:lncRNA from 1 species